AUGCAAGUCGAAUGCCGAUUUAUCGGCAUGGCAGACGGCUGAGUAAUACAUGGGAAUCUACCUCAAACUCGAGAAUAGCCCAUCGAAAGGUGGUGUAAUACUCGAUAGUUCCGUUUACGGUAAAGCUCCGGCGGUUUGAGAUGAGCCCAUGUCCUAUCAGGUUGUUGGUAGGGUAAUUGCCUACCAAGCCUAUGACGGGUAGCUGGUUUGAGAGGAUGAUCAGCCAGACUGGGACUGCGAUACGGCCCAGACUCCUACGAGAGGCAGCAACUAGGAAUCAUGCGCAAUGGACGAAAGUCUGACGCUGCGACGUCGCGUGAGGGAUGAAGGUCUUCGGAUCGUAAACCUCUUUUAUCUGGGAACAAGUUCUGAGUGUACCAGAUGAAUAAGUGCCUGCCAACCACGUGCCAGAAGCAUCGGUAAUGCGUGGGGCACGAGCGUUAUCCGGAUUUACUGGGCGUAAAGAGAUGCGUAGGCGCCUUUUUAAGUCACUUGUAAAAUCUCCCCGCUCAACGGGGAAACUGCAAGUGAUACUGAAUUGGUUGAGUCAAGUAGAGGAGAGGGGAAUUCCUGGUGGAGCGGUUAAAUGCGUUGAUAUCAGGAGGAAUACCAAGUGCGAAGGCACCUCUCUGGACUUGUACUGACGCUAAGGCUCGAAAGUGUGGGGAGCAAAACGGAUUAGAUACCCGUGUAGUCCACACUGUAAACGAUCCCUGCUAGAUGUUUGC
rnacentral:rRNA from 1 species